AAUCAACGCUGGCGGCGUGCCUCAGACAUGCAAGUCGAACGCGAAACCUUCCUUCGGGAGGGGAGUAGAGUGGCGCACGGGUGAGUAACACGUAGGUAAUUUGCCUUCGGGUGGGGAAUAACAGCCGGAAACGGCUGCUAAUACCGCAUAAUGCAGCGGCUCGACAUCGAGACAGUUGUUAAAGCGGGGGAUUCGCAAGAACCUCGCGCCUGAAGAGAAGCCUGCGGCAGAUUAGCUAGUUGGUAGGGUAAUGGCCUACCAAGGCGACGAUCUGUAACCGGCCUGAGAGGGCGGUCGGUCACACUGACACUGACAUACGGGUCAGACUCCUACGGGAGGCAGCAGUCGGGAAUUUUGGGCAAUGGGCGAAAGCCUGACCCAGCAACGCCGCGUGAAGGAUGAAAUCCCUC
rnacentral:rRNA from 1 species